rnacentral:hammerhead_ribozyme from 1 species
AUCUGGAUGACUAGUCCUAAAUAGGACGAAACCCGAGUCUUGGAU